rnacentral:rRNA from 1 species
AUUGAACGCUGGCGGCAGGCUUAACACAUGCAAGUCGAGCGGGGGAAGGUAGCUUGCUACCGGACCUAGCGGCGGACGGGUGAGUAAUGCUUAGGAAUCUGCCUAUUAGUGGGGGACAACAUCUCGAAAGGGAUGCUAAUACCGCAUACGUCCUACGGGAGAAAGCAGGGGAUCUUCGGACCUUGCGCUAAUAGAUGAGCCUAAGUCGGAUUAGCUAGUUGGUGGGGUAAAGGCCUACCAAGGCGACGAUCUGUAGCGGGUCUGAGAGGAUGAUCCGCCACACUGGGACUGAGACACGGCCCAGACUCCUACGGGAGGCAGCAGUGGGGAAUAUUGGACAAUGGGGGGAACCCUGAUCCAGCCAUGCCGCGUGUGUGAAGAAGGCCUUAUGGUUGUAAAGCACUUUAAGCGAGGAGGAGGCUACUUUAGUUAAUACCGAGAGAUAGUGGACGUUACUCGCAGAAUAAGCACCGGCUAACUCUGUG